rnacentral:misc_RNA from 1 species
AAAUAAAUUCAAAAACCCCAUCUUGCUAACUAAAUGCUGGUGUUGUUGCCUGCUGAGAGCCUUAGUCAAUAAAUCUGCUACUUGCUCUUUUAAAGGAAUAAAUUUUGUUCUGAUAAUACCUUCUUGAAUUUUGUCUCUCAUAAUGUGGUAAUCAAGUUCUAUGUGCUUUGUAUGCUCAUGAAAAAGGGGAUUAUGAGCUAUAUGUAUUGCAGCCUUGUUAUCACAAUGAAUGCUUGCUGGUGCUACAACUUCAACUCCAAGUUCCUGAAUUAAUCUCUGCAGCCAUAUUAUUUCACAAGUUGAAUCUGCCAGAGACCUAUAUUCUACUUCUGCUGAAGAUCUGGAUAUAGUGUCUUGUCUCUUUGUUUUCCAAGAAAUCAUAGAUUUCCUAAUGAAAACACAAUAACCAGUUGUGGACCUUCAAGUCAUUAGACAGCUAGCCCAAUCUGAAUCAUAAUAAGCUUCUGACUUUAGCUCACUUGUUGCAGACAUGAAUACCCCUUGUCUUGGUGUCCCUUUCAAAUAUUUUAGUACUUUGAAUGGGGUUCAAGAUGAGGUUUUCUAGGAGCAUGCAUGAACUGGCUCAAGGUUUGCACUGCAAAUGAUAUGUCUAGCUUGGUUACUGUGAGAUAAAUGAGCCUUCCCACAAGUCUCUGAAAUUUUACAAUAUCUUCAAGUAACACCAUGCUCAUUAUCAAGUUUUAAAUUUUGCUCCAUAGGCGUAUGAGCUGGCCCAGCUGCUGUUAAACCUGUGUCUGCUAGUAACUCCAAUGUGUACUUCCUAUGAGAUAUACAUAUUCCAGCAAAGGACCUGGCUAUCUGUAAGCGUAAAAGAUAUUUCAAAUCUCCUAGAUCUUUCAACAAAUUAUUGCUUCAAUUCCAAA